rnacentral:lncRNA from 1 species
CAGCAGAUUCUUGCUGCGCAGCAACUACAUACAUAUGUACAUAUCCGCUACUAAUUGAGCAGCGCCGCAAACGUUCUUUAUAAGUGCGGGGUAAAAAUCGAUUUGUCACACUCUGUUUGGCGGUUGUAGUAAAAGUGCUUUAUUUCAAAUAUUAACUGGGUCCUAAUUUACUAAGGACAUAGAUUUCAAAAAUUAUAACAUAGUUAACUGCUACUACACCAAUCAACUCUGGAGGCGCUGACAUUGAUGGUGCCCGCGGAAUUGACUUUUUCAUGGUCAAAAUCCAGGUUUUGUUUUGUUUCUUCGUCAACUAUUCCCGAAAGUAAAGGGAGAACACAGCCGCUUGCGCCAACUAGAUAGUCGUACGCGAGAAUGAUUUUUAUCGUGGAGAGCUAUCGUUGUCAGCCGGCGUAGCAGUUAACUUUGGCAUUGGCGCUGGCAGAUCAUACGGAAAUUCUCACAAUAUCACAAUUUUCCGAUUUAUUUUGCUCUCCUCGCAAGCAAUUUGCACUGUAUUUUCCUCUUAUACGAUUUUUUUAUAUUGCACUACUGUUCCGAUUAUGAAUAUCGCAAUACGAAAUUCUAUUGAAUAAAAAUUUUCCACAGACGGACUUGAGAUAUUUUAUUUGAUAACUUUCGGACACGCGUGUAAACCUUUGGAUGAAUUAUGCACUUUUCUAAGCUUUUGCGUCAAACGAGUGUACAGGGUAGAAGCAAAAACG